rnacentral:rRNA from 1 species
UACAGAGGGUGCGAGCGUUGUCCGGAAUCACUGGGCGUAAAGGGCGCGUAGGUGGUGGCUUAAGCGUGCGGUGAAAGCUCGGGGCUCAACCCCGAGUCGGCCGUGCGAACUGGGCUCACUGGAGCAUAGUAGAGGCAGGUGGAAUUCCGGGUGUAGCGGUGGAAUGCGUAGAGAUCCGGAAGAACACCGGUGGCGAAGGCGGGUCUCUGGGCCGAUACUGACGCUGAGGAGCGAAAGCGUGGGGAGCGAACAG